UACGUAUGGAGCGAGCGUUGUCCGGAAUUAUUGGGCGUAAAGAGCUCGUAGGUGGUUUGUCGCGUCGUCUGUGAAAUUCCGGGGCUUAACUCCGGGCGUGCAGGCGAUACGGGCAUAACUUGAGUACUGUAGGGGAGACUGGAAUUCCUGGUGUAGCGGUGAAAUGCGCAGAUAUCAGGAGGAACACCGGUGGCGAAGGCGGGUCUCUGGCCAUUUUCUGACGCUGAGGUACGAAAGCGUGGGUAGCAAACAGG
rnacentral:rRNA from 1 species